UAAAGUCACUCAGUCUAGACACGGACCGCAUAACGAAGGAUCUCCGCCAGGGACUUUGAGAAGAGAGCUGCAAGUCUUACGCCACUAAGAAGAUUCUGGAGUCUUGUUGAUUAAGUGGUUCUUAACAGUUCAACAGUUCAUUUCCAAAAUUGUGAAAUGUUUAGGACCACUUAACCAAUCAGACAAUUGCUUCGAGUAAUAGCUGGCGACCUGUGGUUUAGGAAAACCCCAUCGUCACAUGUCUGAGGCCUACGGACACGAGCACUUUUUACAUUGACUUGAAUUAUCUUCUGGAGCAGGCUGAGCAACUGCUACUGAGUUUGUAUUGGAUUGUAAAUUACUGGACCAACAAUAAAUCGACAAAGACUAA